ensembl:snRNA U6 U6 spliceosomal RNA
UUAUUAUUUUAGAAAUAAAUACUAAAAUUAGAAUGGUACAGAGAAGAUUAGCAAGGCCCCUGCACAAGGAUGACAUGCAAAUUCGUGAAACGUUCCAUAUUUUU